rnacentral:rRNA from 1 species
AUUGAACGCUGGCGGCAGGCCUAACACAUGCAAGUCGAACGGUAACAGGAAACAGCUUGCUGCUUCGCUGACGAGUGGCGGACGGGUGAGUAAUGUCUGGGAAACUGCCUGAUGGAGGGGGAUAACUACUGGAAACGGUAGCUAAUACCGCAUAACGUCGCAAGACCAAAGAGGGGGACCUUCGGGCCUCUUGCCAUCGGAUGUGCCCAGAUGGGAUUAGCUAGUAGGUGGGGUAAAGGCUCACCUAGGCGACGAUCCCUAGCUGGUCUGAGAGGAUGACCAGCCACACUGGAACUGAGACACGGUCCAGACUCCUACGGGAGGCAGCAGUGGGGAAUAUUGCACAAUGGGCGCAAGCCUGAUGCAGCCAUGCCGCGUGUAUGAAGAAGGCCUUCGGGUUGUAAAGUACUUUCAGCGGGGAGGAAGGGAGUAAAGUUAAUACCUUUACUCAUUGACGUUACCCGCAGAAGAAGCACCGGCUAACUCCGUG